rnacentral:lncRNA from 10 species
UAGGGGUGGCUGCUGGUUUGUAACGUCUACGAGAAAACAGUCUCGGAGCUAAAAAUGAAUGGGAAUAAUCCACAUGAGAGUUGCUCCUUCUGCCUGGGCCUGGGAAUGAGAAGACCUGUGGAGCUGAGCUACUGCUUACCCACAACCUGCAUAUACAUAAAUCAGAAGCCAGCACUGGUUGUUGUGAGUCGCUUAGAUUUUGGGCUUGAUGAAGAUGACCUUAGGCACAGUGACCCUGAAGGCCACAUGUUAAAGACAGUGGAGCCACAGGAUGGAAGGAAGCUGGUUCCCUGAAUCAUCACGUGGCAGAGAGCGGACCACUAAUCAGGAUCAUGUGUUUCAGAUUUCACUUGACCAAUAAAUCAAUUUCAAUUUUGUUACACUGCUAAAAUGGGUUUAUUUUUUAUAGUAGCUACUGUUUUCCUCAUCAAUACAUCAUGUACAAAGGUUUGGACUUCACUCCCAUCAGGAAUGGGAAGUUAGUCACUGAAGAUUUUUUGAAAAAGGGGAAUAAUACUGUGAAGACAGGUGGAAGUUACAGUUAUUGGGAUCAAAGAAUAUUUCUGAGUGAGAGUGGGAGAUUUGGGGACUGUUGUUUUUUUUUUAAGAAUAUAGUUUAACUCGUCUGGGGAAGGGAGAUGACUGCCAUGAUUGUCGAAGGGCUCCGUAGAACUUGGGAAGGAGCUGCUGAAAAGUGAAUCCAUUUCCCUGAAAUGUUGUCUCUUUUCUCUUUUGCAAAAGUCCUAAUUCUGGUAUUGCCUCAUGUAGUUCGGUGCCCACCACAUAAUAAAUGUUUAAUGGAAGCUGGCCCUGGACUCUGGGAAUGCUUUGAGGAGCUACCACUAGUUGAGUGCCUACUAUGUGAGAGGUGCUCUUUCACCCAUUGAAUCAUCACAAUAACUGUGCAAGGUGCUAUCCAGAUUUUACAGAUGAAGAGACUGAGACUUUAAGAGUAACUUACUGGCUGGGCGCGGUGGCUCAUGUCUAUAAUCUCAGCAUUUUGGGAGGCCAACGCCGG